AUACACUUCGUUAUGUUCAAGCACUCAGGCAGAUCACACAAUUUAUACAUACACUUUAAAGUAACAUAUAGGCCUCAUCGAAAACCUUAAACUUCAUUUAAUAAACAUAACAACCAUACAUAUACAGGUUGUGCCACAAAAGGAGCACAUAUAUGUUUCUAGGUGUGCCUCACAACAAAAAUAUAAGUGGUGCCUCAAGGAGAGAAGUAUAUAUGUUUCUAGGUGUGUCACCCAACCAAAAAGAGCAUAUAGUGGCUGCUUAUGUGCCAAAACAACCACCAAGAUGAGCAGAACCUGCCAAUGUCACCAGGUUCAACAAACAAGGCACAUUACAUAAUCACUCCACCAACUUAAUUGUAGGUCUUGCAAACAUUCAGCAGCUUGUAGGUCAUCCAAGCCUUCAGAAGUUUGUAGAUCAUGCAAAUCCUCAGAAGCUUGUAGAUCACCCAUACCUCCAUCAACCAGUGUAUCUUUGGUAAACCUGCAGCAGACCGGAAACUCAAAACAGAGCUCUCAUAGCACAAUAAAGCUAUUGUAACAUAAACAUGCAGCUAGUACUUGAAGGACAAGAUAGCCCAAUAAAAAUGCAAUCUUUACAUCAUACAAGGACAAGUGUUCUAAGACCUUUGUUUGCCUUGCUAUUGGGUGUUGGCUGAAGCAGCGCACGCUGUGAACCUAUUCAGUACGUGGAGUUUGAAUCAAGGCUAUUGUUGUACAAAGCUCGUUCAUUGGAGAUGAAAAGGAUUUGAAUCAGGCUAGUAACAAAACAGUAAAAAAUGAUAUUUCUGUCGUUCCAAACUUGUUUAUAGUAACCUAAAGGUUGAGGUUAUGACCUACCCAUGAAGAAAAGCACCCAACUUGUUGGGCUUACAAAUAAGCCACCAACAAUAAAAGCGCUCGUUCAAAUAAUGUGCUUGUAACAGGAUAAAAUGUUUGCAACGGUCACCUUUGGCAAAAUUGCUACUGGAUUAAAAUGGAUGUAGGCUAUUUCAUUUCUCCUCUGUAUUCUCAUUUUGCCUAAUUUUGUUGUUUACUAAAAUGACCUAAAAUGGAUGCAGACUAAAAUGGACUAAAAUGGAUGCAGACUAAAAUGUAAGUAGCUAGCUAACUGGGAUGCUUGCUACAAGUACGUAUUAAUCAUCUCCUUUUUUAAGUUAUGCAUGCAGCCUCAUCUUAACAACCAUGUACAUACUAAUCUAGUAGCUCCAGCAUGUAUGCGCUACUACUAGUACACACAUGCUGUUGUUUUAGUGUGUAGCUAUUUUUCUUUACACCUCACAGCAAACAUCAAAUCGUUUUGGUUUCUUUGGGAGUUGCACCUGCAAGUAUUCUAUACGGCACAUGAAUACAGGUUCAGGAGACCCAAGGGCUUAACAGAGUACAAGAAGUUCAGGUUGGAUAUAUGCCUUACAAAGUGUACUCUCUGUCUCCAUUCAAACUUCUCCUCCGAGCAUGUUGUAGCCUUUGCUCAGCUGCUAGUGACUACUUGUCCUGAAAUAAUACAUGAACAUAUAAGAAUCAAUGCUUCAUGUUAUUCUUAUGAAAUAGUAACUUAUAUGGAGUAAAAACUAGAUUGGAGAGAAGGGAACUGUAGAAAACCAACAUAUUAUACUCCCUCCAUCCCAUAAUGUAAGACGUUUUUUGACACUACUUACAUUAUGGGACGGAGGGAGUAACAUUUAAACUCUAGAAGAGUAGUCCACUUUCAAUCUGUCUUUGCAGCAAAAUGAAAGGAGGCAUAAAUAAGUUCUCUAGCUAGUUGUUUUCUUCCACGUAGUAGUAUGUGUGUGUGAUGACAGUCGAACUAGAUGAUCAAUGGGGAUAAACAGCACCAAUACAAAUACAUUUUUGUCCAAAGCUUGCUUGUAGUACUCCUAAAGUGUUUUACUGAUUUAGUAUUAAGUUGUAGCAUCCACUUAUUUAGCACCGUCAGGUUAUUGAACUUCCUAUACUAAUAAAACUUACUAGAACGUGUGUGCAGUCAUUUAGAAGUAUCCACUGCCAUUGUGCAUAGAUCAUUUUAGAAGUUUUGACUGACAGAGAACAUAUCUACAGUCCUUUAUGUACAAUCUAAACUGAAACUGCAAACAUUCCCUACUGCUUCCUACCAAGAUGUCUGAAGAUUAAAACGAUAAAAUGUAUUGAAGAACUAUUCUUGCCAUGAGUGUGGCAAAUCACGAGCAUUAUGAAUUCCUGGAACAAACCUAACACUGCUAGAACCAGUCCCCAAUCCUUUCACUGAUAGCGCCUGCAUCAAUUUGGAAGCAAAAUAAAGAGGCAGCAAUAAGAAAGACUUGGAGCCCAAUAGUAAUUCGGUGGAAGGGAGGGAAAAUCUGCAGCAAGGAGAAGAUAAAUCAUCAAUAUCUCGUGAGUUCUCAUCGAACAGAAAAGAAGAGUUUCACAACCUUUGUAAGGAAAAGCAUACCUGCAUCGCGUUUCCACCAUGACAGAUCUGAGCACCAUGAUGUAUUAGCGUAGUGGGGAGCAGGCACCGCGCUCGCCGUCGGUGUGGUAGGAGACGUGGUGGGGAGCCCGACCACGCUCGUCCGCGUGGAGGGUCGCGGAGAAAAGGAGCGCGAUGGCGUGGGCUGGCACGGCGAACUUGAGACAACAGGCCCGGAGUUCGUAGCGGGAUCUCGUGCUGGGGAUCAAGGCGACGUCGACCUCGACGCACCGGCGCCGUCGACCAGUCCUAGGGCGGUGCCGUGGGCGGUGCCGUGGGGAGCGAGGCGACGUUGACCACGCACACCAGAUCCGUGUGGACGGAGUCGAGGUCGAUCUCGACGCACCGGCGGCAUCGAUCUCAGUGGGGGUCGCCACAUCGGCGGAGGGGGUCGGCGGUGGAGGGCGUAGUUGAGGACAGAGGGGCUCUCGGCUGCGGCGGCGGUGGAGGAGAGAUGGCUCUCGACUCUGGAGGGUUCGAUUUGGGGAAGUACUGGGCGGCGGCUAUAACUCUUUUUUUUUGAGCGAAAAAAAUAAGUCUACCGCUU
rnacentral:lncRNA from 1 species